GCAGGCUCUUCCCGCUCCGCAACAAACACAAUGUUAUCAGGGCACAGAGGGCAGAUUCGUUUGCACCGGCCGAGCGAGCUGCUGUGUCCGCCCUGCCUGCCCUGGGGUCUGGGGAGCACCGGGAUGCACGGCCCAGGACCGGGGCUGCCAGGGGCUCGUGGAGGCAGGCAGCACCCCGGCAGCACCGACAGGGAGCUCAGUCCCAGGACGGGGUGCUUUGGCUGGAGGCCAUAUCCAGGCCACCCUGCACAGCUCUCUGGCCAGAGGAGAUGGGUCAGGUUUGUUCCCAGUGAAUGUCAGCACAGAGUAAAGGCUACAGAGGAUCAGGGUCCACGAGUGAUGUCUUUGCCUACUGGAAUAUACAUGGCCUCAUCUUCCAUGCGUGCCACCCAGCUGCUUGGCCAGGAGGCUGCCAAGCUGGCAGAUCUUGGCACCCUGGCAAAGCAACCCAGCGGUACCCCCAGACCCCGCACACCCUCCCAGCCCCGCUGCAUCGCCUGGACCGCAUCCUGCUUUGAUCUCUGCCUGCUGCCUGACUGUGCCCUGGUGGCUGCGGGGCCAGCGCAGCCCUCUCCGUCCUUCUUUAUAUACCCCUGUUAUUUUUAACUCUGCCUACGCAAAUCCCGAAUCCGGAAUGAGCAGCGGCCUGGGGCCAAGGGGAAAUGGACAUGGUGCAAAUUUCCUGCCCUUUUUACCUCUCUUCCUCUAUAACAUACAGCAACGUUUUUCCUCCACUUCUUAACUUUCACUGGUACAGGAAAGCUGAAAGCUCCGGGCUCUGCACAGAGCCGCAAGGUCCAGCCCCACAAUGGACGGGGUAUCCCACUCGGAAGGGACAUCGCACUCAGUGUGGUGCCAGGAGAUGUCCCUACCCGUAGCACACACCACAGGCUCCGUCAGCAGUGCAGUGCAUUGGAGGCAUCUGGACAGCCCUCGCAGCAGCAGCCUCACGUGCAAACACGUGUGCUCACGUGCCAACCCAGGGGCCUGUCCUUCCCCCUGGCCUGGCAAGAGCUCUGGCCCCAGCCACAGCAGCUGGGACUGUACUACAGCCAUGGGAGCCAUUCCCUUUUGCCGCUCACAAAAGUGCUGGACAAGACCUGUGACACCCCAGCAGCUCCAGGAGUAACAGGAGGAAUUGCUGUUUUCUGGUUUCUUGUAAGCAGCAAGGAGGAGGAACACAGGAUAUUCUUCCCAACAUCUCUGGUUUAAUCUUUAAAAAAAACCCCACAACACAGAGUGCCACAGUGAGUUGCACAGGGAGCUUUGCAGAGGAUGUCAUGGAAUGGCUGCAGUACCCAGGGGAUGUGCAUGUUAGAACCCUUCUCUCACGUGCUGGAGAUUAAUAGCUGUACAUCAUGUAAAAACAAUUUGUCUACAAAAGUUCCAAAUGACCCAGGUAAAUAUCUCUGCCACUCUUUUCUGAGCAGUGUCCAGCCCUCGUCCCGGCUAUACUCUAAGGUGUUCAUCUCCAGUGAACCUGGAUUCUCAGUGAAUGGGGAAAACCUCCCUUGUCAAGCACAGAGGCAGAGAAAAUGUGGAUGCCGAGCCCAGUUCCAGUCAGACCUGAUCCACUCGGAUAUACAUAAUUUCCUAGCCUGGAGAAAGCCUGGCUAGCCCUGGAACCUGGGCACUGGUGUGGCUGCAGUAUCCAGGCACUGCUGGGCCAGUGGGGGAGCAGUUUUCCAAUGGGAGCUGUGGGACGGGGUUGAAUGAAUGGUCUGCACCAUGAGUGACUGGCACCCAUGGGGACAGCUCAGUGUGAAGCAGUGGGGAACAGCCCAGGCAGCAGCAGAACAACCAGGGAGCUGGAGAACUCUGUGUGGAAAGUGUUUUCCAGCCUUGCUCAUGUUCUGUGCCGGUGAGCUCAUCCCCUGGGAACACCGUCUCCAAAAUAGAUUCACUCCCUCGUUGGAAAUAAUCAAAUGGGAAUCCAAGCUGCUGAGCCCAAGCCCAAUUCCUCCCUUUGUUCUGGGGCUCUGGCAGUGAAGGGGUUCGGAGCAGGGUGACAGGAACUCGCCUUCUUAAUUGACCUCCGAUGAUGAAACAAUCAACCAAACGAUUUAGAAAUGUGCAUCCAGUGAGAUCACCAGGAAAACUUCUCCAUGAAGGGGCCUGGGGAAAGGAAGGUGCGGUAAUCCACCUGCCCCAGCCGCCUCGGCAGGCCUCACUGCAUGGCACAACAUGGCACAGCAUGGCACGGUGUGUCACAGCCACCCAGCGCCUCUUGGGUUACCUUGCUGUGGCUUCAUGCCAGAAGCUGCCUUACUAGGUCCAGCGAGGGGUAAGAGUAGAGCUAGACCCGUCCCAGUGAGGACCUCUGCUCCCAUGGGACAUCCGUCCUCCUUAUUUCCAGCCUUAGCCCAUCCUUAGCUACUGGGCACCCAUUUAUCCGAAGCCAGCACCAAGUGGUAGUGCUGCCUGUCUCCACUCCAGACUCACUGCAAGUGCCACCCCAAUGGGCAUUCCAGGACAAGAUUCCAUGAUGUUGUGGUAGAAAAACCCUCCCAGCCCCACAAGCACUGCCUCCCUGGGAAUUUCCAUCUCUUGCACCCUUUCCCCAGCUUUUUGUAGCCUGGCGGGAGGGCAGCCACCCGGGAAGGGCUGGCAGGGCUCCCUGGCCCCAGCUGUGCCGCUGGGGCUGCCCCGACUUCCCCAGCCCAGGUCAGUGCACGCUCCAGCUUGGCAUGUGGCAGGCACUAAUUUUGGCCCAAAGGGUUUCCCUUCAGCAGACUCUACCGCCAGGGUGGUUUUGAAGACAAUCUUAGCCAGAGUCUUCCUUCCUCGACUGCCAGCAAUCCGGAGCCAGGCUGCCCUUGGCUGUGGUAUUUAAAUAGUAGGUGUGGUCCCGGAGCUGUGUGCCAAAACCAACACCAGUUCCAGAGCAGAUAACCCUGCGAGCAAACGCAGCAGCAAAACCACACUGAACUGCUGGGAGAGCUGUGCCGGGAUGGGCAGUGCUGCUGGGCAUGGCCCUGUGGGCAGGCACGCAGCAAGCGGGCACAGUGGCCACAUGGCUCCCUGGCCCGACACGAAAGCUCAGCCAAAGGGGCCGGGUGAAGGGAGGAGAUGGUGGAGUCAGCAUGUCAAGCUGAAGGGCACUAGCUGCUCACUGUGUGCAGCCAGGAGCUGUUUGCGAUUGACCCAGACAGUCUUUGGGGGGUUGUUUGUUUGUUUUAUAAAUCAAGGCAAAACAUGUUACUUAAUCAUCUAUUUUCCAUGUUAUAAACAGUAUAAAAUAUUUGUUUGUUAAAAAGGCUACUUUUCUCCCCCGAAAAUGUAGAGCCUGAGUGAGUGGGAGGAGAAGUCCCUCCAGCAUUU